UACGGAGGGUGCAAGCGUUAUCCGGAUUCACUGGGUUUAAAGGGUGCGUAGGUGGGAAUGUAAGUCAGUGGUGAAAUCUCCGUGCUUAACAUGGAAACUGCCAUUGAUACUAUGUUUCUUGAAUUAUCUGGAGGUCAGCGGAAUAUGUCAUGUAGCGGUGAAAUGCUUAGAUAUGACAUAGAACACCAAUUGCGAAGGCAGCUGGCUACACGAAUAUUGACACUGAUGCACGAAAGCGUGGGGAUCAAACAGG
rnacentral:rRNA from 1 species